rnacentral:misc_RNA from 1 species
UCAAACUUGGUCAUUUAGAGGAAGUAAAAGUCGUAACAAGGUUUCCGUAGGUGAACCUGCGGAAGGAUCAUUACUGAGAACCUGCCCUUUGGGUAGAUCUCCCACCCUUUGUUUUAUUUUAUCUUUGUUGCUUUGGCAGGCCCGUCGGUUAAGACCACCGGCUAAGGCUGGUCAGUGCCUGCCAGAGAGGACUCCUCAACUCUUGAUUUUGUCCUGUCUGAGUUAACUCAUAAUCGUUAAAACUUUCAACAACGGAUCUCUUGGUUCUGGCAUCGAUGAAGAACGCAGC